UACGAAGGGGGCUAGCGUUGUUCGGAAUUACUGGGCGUAAAGCGCGUGUAGGCGGGUCUUUAAGUCAGGGGUGAAAUGCCAAGGCUCAACCUUGGAACUGCCUUUGAUACUGGAGAUCUUGAGUCCGGGAGAGGUGAGUGGAACUGCGAGUGUAGAGGUGAAAUUCGUAGAUAUUCGCAAGAACACCAGUGGCGAAGGCGGCUCACUGGCCCGGUACUGACGCUGAGGUGCGAAAGCGUGGGAGCAAACAGGGAUUAAGAAACCCGG
rnacentral:rRNA from 1 species